rnacentral:lncRNA from 1 species
ACAGAAAUGAUGAGUAAAUGAAACGCCCGCCUAUCAAAAGAGCACAUUUUCCAACGAGACGGACUCGUGACGGAAAAACGCUGGGUGUCACACGUCCAGCCCAGGGGUGAGGAAAAGGGACUGACCAGGAAGGGAGGCCUGCGGGGCAGAACGAUCGGCCUGAGGAGACGCGAGGGCAGAGAGGCUGGAAGCGAGGGGGUCUCAGGGGUCGGGCGGGCUCUCCGGAAUCCCAGGACCGGGGAGAGGAAUCGGCUUCUCCGGGAGUGGAACUGUCGACGCGACCUCCAGGGGUCGACAGGGUGAGGCGGUGGAGGUGGGCGUGCCCGAAUCCCCCUCGCGCCCGGGGACUUGACAAGGCACAGGCGCAGCCUCCUGGAAAUUUUGAGGAUUUGGGUCACUUUGCUCUCCCCCUCCGGAUGCGAGGAAAACAUGCACUGGGCACAGUGGAGAGGAGGAAGCUGGCGGGUUCCGCGGACCAGAGGCGCUGCUGCGGCGGGGCUCCACGCCGCCAUGCCCGCAGAGGCGGCCGGCCUUCCCAGCUGGAAGGCCAAACUCCACAUGGCUCGGUUCCAGAGACACAAGGUCAAAACCUACAGUCUGAGACUGGAGGACUAAGGUAUGUGGCACAUGCACGUGAUUUGGAAAGACAUGGAGAGAACCCCACUGCACUGGCAGCAAGAAAUAGCAGCUGUAUCAUCUCCAGAAGAAGCCUUUGCACUACAGAUUGCUAUGGAGCUGAUGGUCCUCAGAGUCUAUGAAUAAUCCUUCCCUGUGCCUGUGAAGUAAGUCUCUUCAGUCAUGUCUGACUGUUUGGGACCCUAUGGACUGUAGUCCACCAGACUCCUCUGCCAUGGAUAGGUUGCCACGCCCUCCUCCCAACUCAGGGAUCAAACCCGCGUCUCUUACUCCUGCACCACCAGGAGUAGAAAUUCCCUGGUGGUGGUGUGGUAAAUAAUCUAACUGCCAAUGCAUAGGACCCGGGUUUGAUCCCUGGUCUGAGAGGAUACCAUGUGCGUUGGAGCAACUAAGUCCAUGCAACACAAGUACUGAGCCUGUACUCUAAAGCCUGUGCUCUGCAACAAGAGUAGCUACAGCAGUGAGAAGCCUGAACGCAAGUAACUAGAAAGUCGCUUCUGCUUGCUGCAACUAGAGAAAGCCCACGUACAGCAAAAAAUAGGCUCAGCACAGCCCCCAAAACAAAAAGGCAUUGAGUCCUCUGGACUGACCAAAAGAAGCAUCAAAAUGCCAGUCUCCAACCAUACCCCAACCAAGUUUAUGUGGAGAAUUCAUAGCCCUACUGCUGCAAAAAGAGAAAGAAGCCAGCAUAAAGAAGACCUAGCAUAGCCAAAAAUAAAUUUUAAAGAUUAUUAAUGAGAGAAAAAAAC